rnacentral:rRNA from 1 species
AGCUCCAAUAGCGUAUAUUAAAGUUGUUGCAGUUAAAAAGCUCGUAGUUGGAUUUCUGGCGGGAGGGAUCGGUACUUCAUUCUUUGUUGUGACUUGAAUCCUCUCCGGCCAUCCUUGGGUGGAUCUUGUCUGGCAUUAAGUUGUCAGUCAGGGGAUGCCCAUCGUUUACUGUGAAAAAAUUAGAGUGUUCAAAGCAGGCUUAUGCCGUUGAAUAUAUUAGCAUGGAAUAAUAAGAUAGGGCCCUGGUACUAUUUUGUUGGUUUGCGUACCGAGGUAAUGAUUAAUAGGGACAGUUGGGGGUAUUUGUAUUCAGUAUUCAGUGGUGAAAUACUUAGACCUACGGAAGACAAACUACUGCGAAAGCAUUUACCAAGGAUGUUUUCA